rnacentral:tRNA from 1 species
UAAUUAAUGAACUUGUAUUAAGUAUAUAUUUUGAAAAUAUAAAAAAGAAUAACUUAUUCUAUUAAUU